CCUACGGGUGGCAGCAGUGAGGAAUAGUGGUCAAUGGCCGUAAGGCUGAACCAGCCAAGUAGCGUGAGGGAAGACUGCCCUAUGGGUGGUAAACCUCUGUUAUGCGGGGAUAAAGGUGGCCACGUGUGGAUGUUUGCAGGUACCGCAUGAAUAAGGACCGGCUAAUUCCGUGCCAGCAGCCGCGGUAAUACGGAGGAUCCGAGCGUUAUCCGGAUUUAUUGGGUUGAAAGGGAGCGUAGAUGGGUUGUUAAGUCAGUUGUGAAAGUUUGCGGCUCAACCGUAAAAUUGCAAUUGAUACUGGCAGUCUUGCGUACAGUUGUGGUAGUCUGCUUUCGUGUUGUCGCGGU
rnacentral:rRNA from 1 species